AUUGAACGCUGGCGGCAGGCCUAACACAUGCAAGUCGAACGAGUGGCGGACGGGUGAGUAAUAUCUGGGAAACUGGAUUAUGGAGGGGGAUAACGACGGGAAACUGUCGCUAAUAACGCGUACCAUAGGAUGAGCCCAAGUGGGAUUAGGUAGGUGGGUGGGUAAUGGCCUACCAAGCCGACGAUCUCUAGCUGGUCUGAGAGGAUGACCAGCCACACCGGGACUGAGACACGGCCCGGACUCCUACGGGAGGCAGCAGUGGGGAAUAUUGCGCAAUGGGGGCAACCUGACGCAGCCAUGCCGCGUGAAUGAAGAAGGCCUUCGGGUUGUAAAGUUCUUUCGGUGACGAGGCGUUAAUCACAGAAGAAGCACCGGCUAACUCCGUGCCAGCAGCCGCGGUAAUUC
rnacentral:rRNA from 1 species